rnacentral:rRNA from 1 species
GGAGAAGCUACUAAGGGCGUACGGUGGAUGCCUUGGUGCCAAGAGCCGAAGAAGGACGUAGCCAGUCUGCGAAAAGCCACGGGGAGCUGUCAAGCAAGCGUUGAUCCGUGGGUGUCCGAAUGGGGCAACCUGGGGCGGAGAACCCGCCUCGAUCCGAGAGGGUCGGCAACCGGGGGAACUGAAACAUCUCAGUACCCCGAGGAAGAGAAAUCGAUGAGAUUCCCUGAGUAGUGGCGAGCGAAAGGGGAGGAGCCUAAACUGGGCAGGCUGAGUGGUACUCAGGCCUAUGCCUGCCUGGGGUUGUAAGCCGGCGUUGGGGCGAGCUGAGAGGAGCCCGGGAAGUCAGAAAACUUGUCUAUAGGCGAAGGACCCUGGGAAGGGCCGACGGAGAGGGUGAAAUCCCCGUAGUCGAAAUGGGCAAGUCUUCCUGGACGCAGGCUUGAGUACCGCGGGACACGAGGAAUCUCGCGGGAAGCUGGGACGACCACGUUCCAAGGCUAAAUACUCUUGGCGACCGAUAGUGAACUAGUACCGUGAGGGAAAGGUGAAAAGCACCCCGGUGAGGGGGAUGAAAUAGAACCUGAAACCGUAUGCCUACAAGCAGUCAGAGGGCGAGAGCCUGAUGGCGUGCCUAUUGAAGAAUGAACCGGCGAGUUAAUCCUCGUGGCGCGAAGAGGUUAAGGGUCUUGAGACCUGGAGCCGGAGCGAAAGCGAGUCUGAAUAGGGCGAUUAGUCGCGGGGAUUAGACCCGAAACCGAGUGAGCUACCCAUGGCCAGGGUGAAGUCUCGUUAACCCGGGAUGGAGGCCCGAACCUUCCAGUGUUGCAAAACUGUUGGAUGAGCUGUGGGUAGAGGUGAAAUGCCAAGCGAACUCGGAGAUAGCUGGUUCUCCCCGAAAUGCAUUUAGGUGCAGCCUCAGGGAACUAUACCGCGCAGGUAGAGCUCUGAAUGAGCUAGGGGGCGAGACGCUUACCAAACUCAACCAAACUCCAAAUGGCGCGGCAACUAUCCUGAGAGUGAGACGGCGGGGGCUAAGCUUCGUCGUCGAGAGGGAAACAGCCCAGACCAUCGGUUAAGGCCCCUAAGUACAGGCUAAGUGUAAAAGGCGGUGGGGUUACAGAGACAACCAGUAGGUUGGCUUAGAAGCAGCCAUCCUUGAAAGAGUGCGUAAUAGCUCACUGGUCGAGUGAUCCUGCACCGACAAUUCAUCGGGGCUUAAGCCUGUCGCCGAAGCCGUGGCUUGCGUGCUUGCACGCAGGGGUAGGGGAGCGUUCCGUGGUGAUGAAGGUUGGCCGUGAGGUUAGCUGGAGCCAUCGGAAGUGCGAAUGCCGGUAUGAGUAGCGACUAGACACGUGAGAAGCGUGUCCGCCGAAAACCCAAGGUUUCCGACGCAAGGUAAAUCCGCGUCGGGUUAGUCGGGCCUAAGCCGAGGGCGUAAUAGCCGUAGGCGAUGGACAGCGGGUUGAUAUUCCCGCACCGAUUGCGAGUUGUUGACCCAGGUGGUGACGCGUGGGGGUAGGUCCGGCGUGGCGAUGGAGAUGCCGCGUCCAAGCUGGUAGGUGGCGGAAGCUACCGAGAGGCGAGUGAAAGCUUGCGGGGUGACCCAAGGGCGAUUGGAUUGAACUCGUGGCGCCAAGAAAAGCCAUCUGGCGAGGCUCGUGAUUGACCGUACCGCAGACCGACUCAGGUGGGCUGGGGUAAGAACCUCAAGGCGGACGGGAGAACCCUCGUUAAGGAACUCGGCAAAAUAGCCCCGUAACUUCGGGAGAAGGGGCGCCGUGCUUGGUGAUAGUCCUAGCGGCUGGAGCUGAGCGUGGCUGCAAUAAGCAGGCCCAGGCGACUGUUUAACAAAAACACAGGUCCGUGCAGAAAGCGCAAGCUGACGUAUACGGGCUGACACCUGCCCAGUGCCGGAAGGUUAAGGGGUGGCGUGAUGAGCGCUAAACCGAAGCCCCGGUGAACGGCGGCCGUAACUCUAACGGUCCUAAGGUAGCGAAAUUCCUUGUCGGGUAAGUUCCGACCCGCACGAAUGGCGUAACGAUCUGGGCGCUGUCUCGACGAGGGACCCGGCGAAAUUGAAGUACGCGUGAAGAUGCGCGUUACCCGCGAUAGGACAAAAAGACCCCGUGGAGCUUUACUACAGUUUGGCAUUGGGCCGGGGCCGAUGAUGCGUAGGAUAGGUGGGAGCCAGGGAGGCGCUGCUUUCGGGUGGCGCGGAGGCGACGGUGAAAUACCACUCUUCAUUGGUCUUGGUUCUAACAGGCAUCCAAAGUCUGGACAGUGCCAGGUGGGUAGUUUGACUGGGGCGGUCGCCUCCUAAAAGGUAACGGAGGCGCCCAAAGGUCCCCUCAGGGUGGAUGGAAAUCACCCGUGGAGGGCAUUGGCAGAAGGGGGCUUGACUGCAAGACAGACAGGUCGAGCAGGGACGAAAGUCGGGCAAAGUGAUCCUACGGCUCCGAGUGGAAGGGCCGUGGCUUAACGGAUAAAAGUUACCCCGGGGAUAACAGGCUUAUCUUCCCCGCGAGUUCACAUCGACGGGAAGGUUUGGCACCUCGAUGUCGGCUCGUCGCAUCCUGGGGCUGCAGUAAGUCCCAAGGGUUGGGCUGUUCGCCCAUUAAAGCGGUACGCGAGCUGGGUUCAGAACGUCGUGAGACAGUUCGGUCUCUAUCCGUCGUGGGCGCAGGAGGUUUGAGGGGACCCACCCCUAGUACGAGAGGACCGGAGUGGACGGACCUACGGUCUGCCGGUUGGGCUGCCAAGCCCACCGCCGGGUAGCCGACGUCCGGCCGAGAUAAGCGCUGAAAGCAUCUAAGCGCGAAACUCCCCCCGAGAUUAGACCUCCCUCUGGGCAACCAGGUAAGGCCGCAGGUAGAUAACCUGCUCGAUAGACGGGAUGCGCAAGCCUGGCAACAGGCUCAACUUACCCGCACUAAUGGCCGAGGGCUUCUCCCGAC